GGCGGCCGUGGCGGCCGGCGCCGCCGGUGCCUCUUGCGCGCCGGCGAUAUGUGUUGCGGUUUGCAUGCCCGCCA
rnacentral:tRNA from 1 species